rnacentral:lncRNA from 1 species
GUAAUUUGCAAACCACUAAUUAUCACAUCAUUGAUGAUGACACGGUAAAUUUGCCAACCACUGAUUGUCACACCAUUGAUGAUGACAUAGUAAAUUUGCAAACCACUGAUAGACACAUCAUUGAUUGUGACAUGGUAAAUAUACACCCCAUUUAUGGUGACAUUAUGAAUUGAAAACCAAUGAUGGUGACACCUAAACAUCAGACAUCAUCGAUGAUUUAAUCAAAAAUUAAAAUACAAC